GACGAACGCUGGCGGCGUGCCUAAUACAUGCAAGUAGAACGCUGAAGGAGGAGCUUGUUCUUCUGGAUGAGUUGCGAACGGGUGAGUAACGCGUAGGUAACCUGCCUGGCAGCGGGGGAUAACUAUUGGAAACGAUAGCUAAUAUCGCAUAACAGUAGAUGUUGCAUGACAUUCACUUAAAAGGUGCAAUUGCAUCACUACUAGAUGGACCUGCGUUGUAUUAGCUAGUUGGUGGUGUAACGGCUCACUAAGGCGACGAUACAUAGCCGACCUGAGAGGGGGAUCGGCCACACUGGGACUGGGACACGGCCCAGCAUCCUACGGGAGGCAGCAGUAGGGAAUCUUCGGCGAUGGACGGAAGUCUGACCGAGCAACGCCGCGUGAGUGAAGAAGGGUUUCGGGUCGUAAAGCUCUGUUGUAAGAGAAGAACGAGUGUGAGUGUGGAAAGUUCACACUGUGACGGUAUCUUAACAGAAAGGGACGGCUAACUACGUG
rnacentral:rRNA from 1 species